GAUGAACGCUGGCGGCGUGCCUAAUACAUGCAAGUCGAGCGAACGGACGAGAAGCUUGCUUCUCUGAUGUUAGCGGCGGACGGGUGAGUAACACGUGGAUAACCUACCUAUAAGACUGGGAUCACUUCGGGAAACCGGAGCUAAUACCGGAUAAUAUUUUGAACCGCAUGGUUCAAAAGUGAAAGACGGUCUUGCUGUCACUUAUAGAUGGAUCCGCGCUGCAUUAGCUAGUUGGUAAGGUAACGGCUUACCAAGGCAACGAUGCAUAGCCGACCGGAGAGGUGGAUCGCCCACACUGGAAUUGAGAAACGGUCCGGACUCCAACGGGAGGAGGCAGUAGGGAAUCUUCCGCAAAGGGCGAAAGCCUGACGGAGCAACGCCGCGUGAUUGAUGAAGGUCUUCGGAUCGUAAGACUCUGUUAUUAGGGAAGAACAUAUGUGUAAGUAACUGUGCACAUCUUGACGGUACCUAAUCAGAAAGCCACGGCUAACUACGUG
rnacentral:rRNA from 1 species